AGUGUCGCUGCUUAACUACUGAAAGUGUUCCGGGAGAAGGGAACUUGUGGCGUUAACGCACCAACCGCCCUAAAAACUCAAAAAAGAAGGAGGGAACUUUUAAAAAUAAAGAAGAGAAAAAUAAAACUAACGUGGUGUGACGUCAGACGCCGAAAAGGUGACCGCGUGCAUCAGCGAAACCCAGCAAGGCGCUCCAGGGUGGCGUGUUCGACCUGGUCCAGAUUGGUGACCCGUCCAGAAGUGGAACAACCUGCUUCCUGCUCACGGAGACCCGGUCGGACCCGCCACAUACAAAAGCCUGAGGCUGUCAAAAAAAGAUUGAUCUUCAUGAAGAUCGUCAAAGAGUAGGUGUGAUUAUUUAGAUCUGGGUGGCCGCUGUGUCCCCACUCUUUCUUGGCCGCUGUGCCUACAUCUCUCUGGAUUGUCCAACAUGGCCACGUUCUCUCUCUUCUCCUGCUUUCCAUCUGUCAUAUAGCUGAGGGUUGUACAUGGAGCAUUUGCCACAGGUUGGUUUUGUAUAUUCCUGUCCACUUUAUUUGGUGGUCUGAUCUGGUCCUUGUUGGUUAUGUUUUUGUGGAACUGCUGAGCAAAUGUGAUUUGAAAGAAUGAGGUCACUGAUGGAGUGUUUGAGAUUCUCUCUCUAAAUGAAUGUGUUGUGUGUGUGUGACUGGGAUGCCUGGAUUGAAUAGUUAAGAUGGUCUGAGAAUGUGAUUAUGUUCAGCAGUUCACAUUAAAGUAGAUCUGGUGUCUAGAAGGGCUUAGAUGCUUGACUAACAUUUCCUUUUUAGGUCUGUCUACAAAGGGUGAGUCCAUAUUUUCUUAUUUCUUCU